rnacentral:rRNA from 1 species
UACGUAGGGGGCAAGCGUUGUCCGGAAUCAUUGGGCGUAAAGCGCGUGUAGGCGGUUUUGCAAGUCGGGUGUGAAAGCCCUCAGCUCAACUGAGGAAGUGCGCCCGAAACUGCAGAUCUUGAGUACGGAGAGGAUGGCGGAAUUCCCCAAGUAGAGGUGAAAUUCGUAGAUAUCGGGAGGAACACCGGUGGCGAAGGCGGUUCUCUGGGCCUUACCUGACGCUGAGGAGCGAAAGCGUGGGGAGCGAACAGG